rnacentral:rRNA from 1 species
CCUACGGGGGGCAGCAGUAGGGAAUAUUGGUCAAUGGAUGCAAGUCUGAACCAGCCAUGCCGCGUGCAGGAAGAAGGCCUUCUGGGUCGUAAACUGCUUUUGCCAGGGGCUAAAAAGCCCAUGCGUGGGAAAUUGAAAGUACCUGGUGAAUAAGCCACGGCUAACUACGUGCCAGCAGCCGCGGUAAUACGUAGGUGGCAAGCGUUGUCCGGAUUUAUUGGGUUUAAAGGGUGCGUAGGCGGCUUUAUAAGUCAGUGCUGAAAUAUCCCGGCUUAACCGGGAGGGUGGCAUUGAUACUGUAGAGCUUGAGUAAAGUCGAGGUAGGCGGAAUUGACGGUGUAGCGGUGAAAUGCUUAGAUAUCGUCAAGAACACCGAUAGUGCAGACAGCUUACUAGGCUUUAACUGACGCUGAGGCACGAAAGUGUGGGGAUCAAACAGG